CUUCUUCGAAUUAUGAUGAUAGUUCUGAUCUGGGUUAUCAUCCCUCACCUUCUUCUCUGGAUCAAACUGAAACUCCAGGAUUCUCAACAACAAGUGGCGAUUCUUUCUUGUUUCGCCGGACUUAUUCAAGACAUCAGCCUUAUCUGAUGCCAUAGAAGACAACAGCUAUUCAAGCGAACCUUCUUCUUGUCACUGGAUACCAAACAAAUCCGCAGCCCAUAAUCAACCUGUGCUUGGAAGGCUAGGCAUGAAGCAACGGAAGUGCAUUAUCGAUGAUCAAGAAUCAGUAGAUCCAGACCUUGAGAUGAUGAAAGAAAGAUUCGCAAAGCUUUUGCUUGGUGAAGACAUGUCAGGAAGUGGGAAAGGCGUCUGCACGGCUGUCACAAUCUCAAAUGCCAUAACUAAUCUCUAUGCCACUUUGUUUGGACAGAAUUUGAGGUUAGAGCCAAUGAAACCUGAGAAAAAGGCUAUGUGGAAGAGAGAAAUGGAUUGUCUUCUUUCUGUAUGUGAUUACAUUGUAGAAUUCAUCCCCAAGUCGCAGAAUUUAAAAGAUGGAACAGCUCUGGAGGUGAUGGAAAGCAGACCACGAUCUGAUAUUUACAUCAACCUUCCUGCAUUAAGAAAGCUUGACGCGAUGCUCAUUGAAAUACUGGAUGGUUUCCAAGAUAUAGAAUUCUGGUAUGCAGAACAGGGAAGCAUGUCAUCAAAUUCUACUCGUUCAGGUUCAUUUCGCAGAGUUAUUGUUCAGCGGAAAGAGGAGAAAUGGUGGGUACCAGUUCCUUGUGUUCCUCCAGGCGGUCUCUCUGAGAAGUCAAGGAAGCACUUGAGACACAAACGUGACUGUGCUAAUCAAAUUCACAAAGCAGCCAUGGCCAUUAAUAGUAGUAUUCUUGCUGAGAUGGAAAUUCCAGACACAUACAUGGCAUCACUUCCCAAGAGUGGAAGAGCGAGUCUAGGUGACGUAACUUACCGCUACAUGUGUACAACAGACAUAUUUUCCCCAGAUUAUGUUCUUGACUGUCUCAAUAUAGCAUCAGAACAUGAAGCACUUGAGCUUGCAGAUCGAUUAGAAGCUUCAAUGUAUACGUGGAGACGUAAAGCGUGCAUGAAGCAUUCAAAAUCAUCUUGGGAAAUGGUAAAAGACCUCAUGUCUGACAUUGAUCGAACUGACAAAAAUCAUGUUUUAGCAGAAAGAGCGGAAAGCUUGCUCUUCUGCUUGAAGCAGAGGUAUCCUGAACUUUCACAGACAUCCCUAGACACAUGCAAGAUACAGUACAAUCGGGAUGUGGGACAAGCAACCCUAGAGAGCUACUCAAGAGUCCUAGAAGGCCUAGCAUUCAACAUAGUUGCUUGGAUUGAAGAUGUUCUUUUUGUAGAUAAAUCAGUAAGAAACCAAGNAACCUAAAAAAUGAGUUCAAACGUCAACAAGAGAUAUCUUAAUCCAGCAGUUCUCCUCCUACAACCGAUGAACAAUUUUUGUAGAAUACGAGCAAAAAAAAAAAACAAUUAGAAGAAUCUUUGAAAUCUUUUUACUUGUUUCUGAAGUUAGUCAGUAGUAGUUAUAUCUGUAAUGAACUAA
rnacentral:misc_RNA from 1 species